rnacentral:rRNA from 1 species
CAGCAGCCGCGGGAAUACAGUGGUCCCAAGCGUUGUUCGGAAUCACUGGGCGUAAAGGGUGCGUAGGCGGCGCGGAAAGUCAGGGGUGAAAUCCCGGAGCUCAACUCCGGAACUGCCUUUGAUACUCCCGCGCUUGAGAACUGGAGGGGAGACCGGAAUUCACGGUGGAGCAGUGAAAUGCGUGGAUAUCGUGAGGAACACUAGUGGCGAAGGCGGGUCUCUGGACAGUAUCUGACGCUGAGGCACGAAGGCCAGGGGAGCGAACGGGAUUAGAUACCCGCGUAGUCCCUGUCUCUUAUAC